UACACAUACAAGUCGAGCGGAUGAAGGGAGCUUGCUCUCUGAUUCAGCGGCGGACGGGUGAGUAAUGCCUAGGAAUCUGCCUAUUAGUAGGGGACAACGUUUCGAAAGGAACGCUAAUACCGCAUACGUCCUACGGGAGAAAGCAGGGGACCUUCGGGCCUUGCGCUAAUAGAUGAGCCUAGGUCGGAUUAGCUAGNUGGUGAGGUAAAGGCUCACCAAGGCAACGAUCCGUAACUGGUCUGAGAGGAUGAUCAGUCACACUGGAACUGAGACACGGUCCAGACUCCUACGGGAGGCAGCAGUGGGGAAUAUUGGACAAUGGGCGAAAGCCUGAUCCAGCCAUGCCGCGUGUGUGAAGAAGGUCUUCGGAUUGUAAAGCACUUUAAGUUGGGAGGAAGGGCAGUAAGUUAAUACCUUGCUGUUUUGACGUUACCGACAGAAUAAGCACCGGCUAACUUCGUGCCAGCAGCCGCGGUAAUACGAAGGGUGCAAGCGUUAAUCGGAAUUACUGGGCGUAAAGCGCGCGUAGGUGGUUCGUUAAGUUGGAUGUGAAAGCCCCGGGCUCAACCUGGGAACUGCAUCCAAAACUGGCGAGCUAGAGUAUGGCAGAGGGUGGUGGAAUUUCCUGUGUAGCGGUGAAA
rnacentral:rRNA from 1 species